GGCAGAUUAUGUCUGUCUUCUUGAUGGUCUUCAGAUGCCCACCACAGGCCCUGCCGAAAAAACCAUUUGGCAAAGCUGAUGCCUGAAG